GUGUGUGUGUAUGUGUAUGCUUGUGCAUGUGUGUGUAUUGAUAAAUGUGGUAUACUAUUCGAAAUACAACUCUGAAAGGAAAAAAAAAAAUUUUCUCCAUCGAUUUGAUUCUGCUGAGUAUUGGAUAUUUGAUGUUAGAUGCUGUUGCAACGCUAAACUUUUCAACUAUUAGUUUUUCAGGAUAUUCAAAACAUUUUCAAUAUAUGCAAGUUGAGGUAAAACAGUUAUCAUUAAUUAGCGGUAAAAAAUCGAGUAGAUACAGUUAAAAAUAUUUUGCUCUUACUACCAACAGACACUAUUUUGUCCGAAUACAGCAUGAAUGGUCUAAAGAAGAAAAAAAAGUUUAAAGAAUUGACAAGUCUAUGUAAUGCUGAAACUGCUUUAAAGUCAAAUAAAAACAAAAUGGAUGCCAUCCAUCCAACUUAUUGGGAGAGUAAUUAGGAAUUCUUCUGACCGAUUAAAGAAAACAUCCACUAAUAUGAAUAUCAAUCAAUGAUCGGCUUAA
rnacentral:lncRNA from 1 species